rnacentral:hammerhead_ribozyme from 1 species
AUCCAGCUGAUGAGUCCUAGACCGGACGAAAUGCGUGUCCUAGAU